rnacentral:rRNA from 1 species
UGGUGGAGUGAUUUGUCUGGUUAAUUCCGCUAACGAACGAGACCUUAACCUGCUAAAUAGUUACAUGUAACCUCGGUUACAUGGGCAACUUCUUAGAGGGACUUUACGUGUCUAACGUAAGGAAGUUUGAGGCAAUAACA